GGGAGGGAGGGAGGGAGGGGAGCCAACCAGAACUUUACCGGAUGUUCAAACGCCACAGCUAGCAUUCCUUCCUGACAGACAGACAGACAGACAGCGAGCGGACGCCCUCCUCUUCCUCCUCUAAUUCUUCUUCUUCUUCUUCUUCUUGCUGUUUGAGUUCAGAAUAUUUAUUCUUAGUGGAAUAAAGCUGAAACACUCUGAUCAAUAAUAAACCUGUAACACAAAUGCAGCGAGCAGCUCGUCAAUGCAUGUUUGGGUUCCUCUGCCCCGCCCCCUCACUCACCUCCACCUCCGCUUACUGUGAUGUCACACCUGCUUCGUGCUGUAGCCCCGCCCCCUGCCGUCAGAGGUCACACCUGUAAAGUCCUUUGGUUCUUUUGGUUUAGCUGCAGCUCCGCCCCCUCACCCUGAUUGGUCGAGCAGAAGCCAGAUGCUUUUGUUUUUUAUUUGCUGCCGCUCGUUGCCGUGGUAGCUCAUCAAUCUGUUCUCCUUUGGUCCUGAAAUCUUCUCGGUGUUUCCGUUACCUGCUUGUCACACUGUGAGGGGGCGGGGCCUGCUGCCAGGUGAAGCCCCGGCCCCUCAGGUGUAACAGCAGCACCGUGGUCUGCUUCCUCCUCCCAUGAUGCACUGCUGCUGGUUGCUGCACCUGUUCAGGUGAAGCUGCGUUCGCUGUCAGCAGGAAAAGCUGCUGAUGAAACGCUGCGUUCAGGCGCUGUGAAGAAAAAAGGGAAAAGCUGUUCAACCUUGAAAAAUAAUCCUGAUGUUAAACUUUGAUUUUCCACAGACCCUGAACACAGCGCUGCUCAGAGGCAGGUGAGGGGCGUGGCCUGCAGCUACAGCUCCUGAUUGGUCGGCUGCAGCGUUUUUCUGUCCUGUGAUGUCACCCACAGAGCUCUCCUCUGAUUGGUCCGUUGAGCCACACUGAAAACUUCCCCCUCGUCUUUUUCCUCGAUGUUUUCCGCGUCAUUUCCAAACGUUCCUAAAAACAUCAGCUGCAGAUCACAGAAGCUUCAGGACGAGAAGAAAAACAGACUCUUCAUAGUUUACAGACAAGCAGCAGAUUCUCAGUAAAUUCUGAGGAGUUUGUGCAGCAGCAGGUGGCGCUAUCGCUCCUUUGUAGUGAUGAAUUCACAGCAGAUUUCUGGAAGGAAGAACAGAUGGAAAAUGAAAAAUCUACAGAAAGCAAAGUGGAAGACAGACGGCCUUCUUUUGAUUCAUUUUAUCGUCUAUUUAUUGAUCAUUUUCAUCUGUUUUUCUCUCCACAGUUUAAAAUCUGAGGCUUUAAUGAGAAACUUUGGAAACGGUUCAUGAAGGAGGAACGAAUCGGAGACGGAGGAAUUUAAACCUCGUUUCUUUGGUUGCUAAUCUUUUAUCGUCCGUCUGUCUUUGAACGCAGCGUUUAGAAGAGAUGUUUGUUUCAGUGUGGAUCAAACGAACGUCUGCUGGCUUUGGUGGCUCACCUGCUCAGGUGGAUCAGGAUGAGGUGUGCAGUGGUCGGGUGGUUUUGCUCAGAAUGUAGUUUUGUUUCUUGAAAUGAAAUCGUCUGUUUUAACCUUUACUUUCUCCUCCACUGUUUAUGGCAAUAAACCUGUCUCAUCUUCAUCGCCCUCUUCAUCGUCGUGCACCAAUCAGAAUGUUUGACUUCAGGGUGGGGAGGGGUGGGGGUGGAGGAGGGGUCGAUUCCUUGUUUUGAUUUUUAUUUUUUCUUCCAAAUGAAAGAAGAAUAAAGAAUAAAGCUCGUUCUGUUCUGCCGAUCUCUCUCUUUGUGCUUCCUGUCUCUGUUUCACCUCAACUAGAUUUUUUAAUCCAGUUUAAUCCAGAGGUUUGAUCUGGUUUACUCUAGAGAUUCAGUCAGGUUUAAUCCAGAUGUUUAAUCCAGCUAGCUUUAGCUCCUCGUAGCGUUCAUCCGUCUGAACCUGAUAACUUGUUUGAUUUUAGCCUUUUUUCGUUCCUCCUCUGAUAAAUCUGCCGUCGGUUCUCCGUCGGUUCUUCAGUCAUUUAUCAGUUUUGGUUUUCUGGAUCUUCAGACUAAAGGAUUUAUAAAAUAUCUCAGAUGCUUUGUGAA